CACGUCCCAGGAAGACCGCUUUCUAUGGGGGCCCAGCUCCUGGCUGCAGUGCUCCGCUCUGCCCCCGUGCUGAAAACUCCUUCACGGAGACCCUGCACUUCCCGUGGGCUGCCUGCCCGCUUUCUCUGGGCAAAGACCAGCCUUGGGUGCUGGAGAGCGAGAGGAUUUUCUCGGCAUGCAGUCCCUUUAGAUUUGGGUGUGAUAACCAACCACAUCUGGCACAUUGGAUUUCUGGCUUGCAUUCCUCUGUCAUCCUGCUUUUCUGAAGAUUACACUAUUCCUUUGCCCUGGGCUUGAGCAGUAAAGGGUAGAUCUGAUUGCUGGUUGAACUGUUACCUCUUCACUGUGAUGGAAAAGUGCUCAUCUAAAACAAGCCCUCUGUUAUGCUGCUAAAACUGUCUCUGAAUACAAGAUCUGUGGUGAUU
rnacentral:lncRNA from 1 species